rnacentral:rRNA from 1 species
UCCAGACUCCUACGGGAGGCAGCAGUGGGGAAUAUUGCACAAUGGGGGGAACCCUGAUGCAGCGACGCCGCGUGGGUGAAGGAGUAUUUCGGUAUGUAAAGCCCUAUCAGCAGGGAAGAACAAUGACGGUACCUGACUAAGAAGCACCGGCUAAAUACGUGCCAGCAGCCGCGGUAAUACGUAUGGUGCAAGCGUUAUCCGGAUUUACUGGGUGUAAAGGGAGCGUAGACGGCAUGGCAAGCCAGAUGUGAAAUACCGGGGCUCAACCCCGGGACUGCAUUUGGAACUGUUAAGCUGGAGUGUCGGAGAGGCAGGCGGAAUUCCUAGUGUAGCGGUGAAAUGCGUAGAUAUUAGGAGGAACACCAGUGGCGAAGGCGGCCUGCUGGACGAUAACUGACGUUGAGGCUCGAAAGCGUGGGGAGCGAACAGGAUUAGAUACCCGGGUAU